AAAAGGAAAGUGUAAGCGUGACGUUGUAGUAGAAGUUUAAACAAUCUUAGCACUUAAUAAACAUGUCGUUUAGUGAUGAUUGAAAUGAAAGCACACACACAUAU